CAGCCUCGACUUUAAUAGUAUUCAACUGACCUUGUACAAUCGUUAGAAAAGUUUCUAAAUGCUUACUUUCAGUUUCUGUAUCAUCUCACGUGGCCCAGCGCAGCCCGGGGCCUGGCCAGUGGUCCGAGGAGCUCUCUCUGGUCGCGCUCACGGAGGCUGCAGGGACGCGGCCUCUGGCUUUGGAGAGCCUUUCGGGAGACUGACCAGGAGGAACAGGGCUCCUGCAUCUCUGCUCCCCCCAGCAGCCCCUAGACCAGACUCGGCCCAAGCCUUACCUCCUAUAGGAAGUCAUCCUGGGCCUGCAGCUGCACGGAGGAGCCCCCGCCUGCGCCCCCACAUCACAGCACCGGUUUCCCCGUAUUUGGAUUGAAUGGGGAAAACAGCAGCCCGGCACUAAGUGCCUCCCCAAAGGUCAGAAGUAAAAGAGCAAACCAGGACUUCUGAGCUCAUGGGUGAGGUGUAAUAGCCCUUCGGUUCCCUGUGACGCAUCACUGUCACGAGGUGGGGACUUAGGACCCCCGUGAUAUUAAGUCAGAGCCACCAUGGGGUUGGUGGGAAGUGGGGUAGCCUCCCUCAGCCCAGCCUGACUCUUUUCUUGCUUUUUCCUAAGCUCUGUUCCUACAGGUCCUAUAGGAACAGUUUACUGCCAUCUCUAGGACACCCGGUAGCAUUACCCCAAGUUUCUAUCUUUACACCAUCUUCAUAUCCCAGCUACUCAAAACUGGCAUCUAAAAGCUCUCUGUGGGCACCACGUUACCCGUGCAAACCUCCAACACCUGCGACGCGCCAGAGACUGAGGAUGACUGAUGCCGAGCUCCUGCACUCAAGCCUCACUUUGUCCUAUUUGUUGUCUGAACUAGCAUUCCACUAAACUACACUUGAUCUUGUUCUUGUUUGCCCUGCGUGGCCGGAACUCUUUACAUUCAGCUUUUCCCCAGAACUACAAUCGAUCAUCUUGGUCUAGGUAAAUUUGGAAGUCAGUUCAAGGCACACAAGCAGCUGCAUCACCCUUGCCAACUUAAGAGUAUAAAC
rnacentral:lncRNA from 1 species